GUAGGCCUAAAAGCUCUAACGGAUAACGGAUCUUGGAGGGAAAUCUGCUGAGAGAAGUUGUGAAGAUGUCGGGAAUCCAAACAGUGAGGAGCUUGGUCAAAUUCAGACUAACUGUACUUGCCGAAGAGAUUUUGGAGCCGUUUGAAAGAAUGCUAGCAGAGUAUGAGGAGGAAAAUUCUCGUUUGAAAGUGGAGAACCAGCGACAACAAAAACUACUGGACGCUGUUUUUAACCCCGAAGUCCAGUUACACAGAGCAGAUGUCCAGCAGCUGAUUGUGACAAAAGAAGAGUUUCUCCAUAGGCGGUAGAAGAGGAGCUCCAGUCGGAACCAGGAGGAGUCACCAGAACCAGCACACAUUAAAGAGGAACAGGAGGAACCAAAAAAAUUCAAAAGUGUGUUGCCAUGAGCAGUGGAAAUCCAGAAUAAGAUGUUUGUCAUUUCAUCUUUCCAGCUAAGAAGAAGCAUCUCAAUGAUUUAAAUUCUGCUUUUAUUCCUGUAUUUAAUUUUUGUUUCCACCUCUUCUGUUAAAUGUUCAGUGUUGAGUUCACUGAGGAUUGAUGUUGGAUCUUCGUCACUAUUAUAACAAAGACUUCUGCUCUGUCUGUAAUGUUUCUUGGGAUAAUAUUUGUUAUUAAAGGGAGCUGUGCAAAGAUA